rnacentral:rRNA from 1 species
AACGAACGCUGGCGGCAUGCCUAAUACAUGCAAGUCGAACGAGACCUUCGGGUCUAGUGGCGCACGGGUGCGUAACGCGUGGGAAUCUGCCCUUGGGUUCGGAAUAACAGUUGGAAACGACUGCUAAUACCGGAUGAUGACGAAAGUCCAAAGAUUUAUCGCCCAGGGAUGAGCCCGCGUAGGAUUAGCUAGUUGGUGGGGUAAAGGCUCACCAAGGCGACGAUCCUUAGCUGGUCUGAGAGGAUGAUCAGCCACACUGGGGCUGAGACACGGCCCAGACUCCUACGGGAGGCAGCAGUAGGGAAUAUUGGACAAUGGGGGCAACCCUGAUCCAGCAAUGCCGCGUGAGUGAUGAAGGCCUUAGGGUUGUAAAGCUCUUUUACCCGGGAUGAUAAUGACAGUACCGGGAGAAUAAGCCCCGGCUAACUCCAUGCCAGCCGCCGCCCGUAAUAC